UUCUUUAACUAAAAGAAGGCAUACAAUUGUAUACCGACUUUGAUUAAUAGAAUAGGCAAAUUGAUUUUUCCUCUUUCAAUCAGGCAAAAUAGUCCCACACACACAGAUGGCCCUCCUCUCUUUUAUUUCAAGCACUUACCGUUUGAUAUUUCAAGCACCAGACAGCUCCUCUCUCUCUUUUUUUAUUAAUAAUUAGUUUGUCCAAGAUUGCCAAGAACAGCUUCUUCACCAGCUUCUCGGCCUUUUCUUCUGUGAGGCCAUCAACAUCACUUAGCAGUUGCUGAUGAUAACCAUUUCUCAUCAGCAACUGCUUUUUGGUGGGAUUUGGUGCGUGAACGGGUUUUUCAACGAUUAAGGCUUUUGGCAAACUGUUAUUCAACAAUUUUGUUGUUUGGUGAGCCAUUUUUCUACGGUUAUAGAGCUUGAUGUGCUGUUUUUCAAUGGUGAUGGAAUUUGAAUAACCGUUUCUCAACGGUUGUGGAAUUUAAUGAGCUGUUUAUAAAGCCCCACGUCAAUCUAUAAGGAUUUUAAAGUAAAUAUUAUGAUAAGCAAGUAAAUUAAAUAUUUACACUAAAGAAAUGAUAAUAUAUUUUGAAAAUUUAAAAUAAAAUGUUUAUGUGAUAAUUGUAAAAGUAAAACCAUGAAAAAAAUGACUAAAAUAUAAAACAAAAAGAAACCGAAAUUUAAUGAAUUUCAAUAUUGCUUAGGUUAAAUUUAAUAUAAACAAGCGUAGAGAUUUGAAAAAUAUUACCAGGAAAAUAUAUAUGGUGUAAAAGAAAGGACAUAAUGGGAAUUACCAAAUUUUCUUCUUUUUUAUAUGCAUUGUGGCCGGCAGCUUGUAGAAAAAGAGAGAGAGACAAUGAAAUUUCUUCAUUUCUUUUAGCUUGAUUUUAGGAAAACUUGAGGCGAAACAAGAAUUUGAGAGAAAACUUGUGAGAUUUUAUGGGUUUAACACCUAAACACUUGACUCAAGAGAGGUUAGCUAUGGAAAGUAAGAUUUCUAGUGAGAGAAACAAGGAAAGUGAAGAAAGAAAAAGAAAACACUUGACUCAAGAAAAAGGUUAUAAUGGAUGUAAGAAUUGAUGUUAUAAAGAAGAAAACAUGGAGAAAAAGUGGGGAGAGUGGUCGAUCAAGUGUAGGGAAAAAAAAAUGAAAAUUAUGAUGUUGAUGAUAUAUGUGUGAAAAUUGUAUGAACUUAGUGUCAAGUGUUAUAUUAGAUAUUAUUUGAAAGGAAUUAGAUUAUGUUAUCAAAUUUGAUUAGCAUAUUAAAAUCUUGGGAAUUAUAGUUUUGGAAUGAAUAGUUAGUGAGGAUGCAUAAAUUAAAUAGCUUAAACUAUGAUAGAAUUAAAAAAAAAUAGAAUUGGAAAAGAAAGGAAAGUAGAGAGGGACUUUGUGGUCGAAUAAAUAUAUGGAUUGGGAAGUAGAAUUGAUAAUGAUGUGAUAUUUAAUUUGAUUUGUUUAAGAGUGAAUAUAAUAAGAAAAGAAUAAAUUGAUUAAUUCUAAUGUGAAAUGUGCUUAGGAAUUUAGUAGUGAAAAUGAAGAAUACGAUUGUAAAAGUGGGUUAGUAUGUGGUGUAAAAUCAAUUAAUAAUGAUAUGUUAUGAGAUCAAAGAAAAUAUUGAUAAUGGUAUCUUUUUUGGAUUCAAGAGAGGUACUAGAAAUGACGUCUUUCGCUGUAUGAGAAAUGCAUACAAUUGUUGAAUGAAAGUCAAUAUUUGUUGCUUUUAUUGAUGAAUGAAAAUCAUUGUUAUGCUGGCCAAUAUUUAUAGCUUCUAUCGUUAAAUGGAAGUCAUUGUUAUGUUACUUUUAUUGUCGAAUGAAAGUCGGUGUUUGUUGCUUCCAUUGUUGAAUGGAAACCAUUGUUAUAUUGCUUUUAUUUUUAGAAAAAAUUCAUUAUUUAUAGCUUUCAUCAUUGAACGGAAAUCAAUAUUUUGUUGCUUUUAUUGCUGAAUGAAAGUUAAUAAUAUAUCAUUUUUAUUGUUAGAUGAAAAUUAAUGGGAUGAGAUUUUUGUGAAUAUUAAAUAUGGAACUUGAGGUGGUAAUGAAAUUAUAACUGUCAAGAAUUGAAAAUUAUGGAUAAAAAGUGAAAAUUGUGUUAUAUCUAUAUAAGUAAAGGAUAAUUAACUUUAUUGAGAAUUAUUAAAAAUGUUUAAAAUGCUAAUGUGAACUUAUGAACUUAAUUAUUUAAUUAUUUAUUAUUUUAUUGUUAACUAUGCAAGACCAUUGUACACUGUGAGGCAGAGUAGUUAUAGAUAUUAGGGGUAGUUUAGUUAUAUUACAAAUAUUUUGUAUUCAUACACUUUUUUAUGUAUAAUUAGUAGAACCCUUCACUUUAUUCUGAAAUACAUGUAAUUUUUUUGUUAAAUAUUUCAUAUUCUUAUCCUUGUAAGCUUUAUUAUUUAUAUGUCAUGGAAAAAUAAUUGUAUGUAAAUCUUGAGUUGUGUUGAUUUGAAGUAAGGUCGAGGAUGAUUGAAUCA